GAUGAAGAACGUAGCGAAAUGCGAUAAGUAGUGUGAAUUGCAGAAUUCAGUGAAUCAUCGAAUCUUUGAACGCACAUUGCGCCCCUUGGUAUUCCGUGGGGCAUGCCUGUUCGAGCGUCAUUUGUACCUUCAAGCUUUGCUUGGUGUUGGGUGUUUGUCUCGCCUUUGCGUGUAGACUCGCCUUAAAAUAAUUGGCAGCCGGCGUAUUGAUUUCGGAGCGCAGUACAUCUCGCGCUUUGCACUCAUAACGACAGCGUCCAAAAGUACAUUUUACACUCUUGACCUCGGAUCAGGUAGGGAUACCCGCUGAACUUAAGCAUAUCAAUAAGCGGAGGA
rnacentral:misc_RNA from 1 species